GAGUUUGAUCUUGGCUCAGAUUGAACGCUGGCGGCAUGCCUUACACAUGCAAGUCGAACGGCAGCACGGGAGCAAUCCUGGUGGCGAGUGGCGAACGGGUGAGUAAUACAUCGGAACGUGCCCAAUCGUGGGGGAUAACGCAGCGAAAGCUGUGCUAAUACCGCAUACGAUCUACGGAUGAAAGCAGGGGACCGCAAGGCCUUGCGCGAAUGGAGCGGCCGAUGGCAGAUUAGGUAGUUGGUGGGGUAAAGGCUCACCAAGCCAACGAUCUGUAGCUGGUCUGAGAGGACGACCAGCCACACUGGGACUGAGACACGGCCCAGACUCCUACGGGAGGCAGCAGUGGGGAAUUUUGGACAAUGGGCGCAAGCCUGAUCCAGCCAUGCCGCGUGCAGGAUGAAGGCCUUCGGUUGUAAC
rnacentral:rRNA from 1 species